CAGAGCAGCUGAGGUAGUACUGCAUUUUGCCCCUAGGUGGCAGAAGAGUACUCCGGGAUUGGUGGAAGUCUGUGGUUUGCGACCAGGGAAUCACGGAUUUCAGUGAAAGGGUCUGAGACCACAGCCAUAAGCUGUGAAAGCCAAGAGGACAGCUAAGGACUAAGGAAUUGACACUAAGCCCGAAUCUGGCAGAAGAGUCAAGCCCCAAAUCGUGACAUGCACACAGAAAAAAUAUGUGGGCCACUGGCUUAGGAAGACUGCGUUUUCAGGGGAAAUGACCCAUGGGUGAGCGCUGUGGCACAGACUUAAAAGACUAUGACACUUUCUUUUGGCCUCCAUCAUUUCUGAUAAGAAAUUCACUGUCUUUCAAAUUAUUUGCUCUCACAGGUCUAAAAAUAAAUGAGAAUAAA
rnacentral:lncRNA from 1 species